UACAGAGGGUGCAAGCGUUAAUCGGAAUUACUGGGCGUAAAGGGUGCGUAGGCGGUUCGUUAAGUCUGUCGUGAAAUCCCCGGGCUCAACCUGGGAAUGGCGAUGGAUACUGGCGAGCUAGAGUGUGUCAGAGGAUGGUGGAAUUCCCGGUGUAGCGGUGAAAUGCGUAGAGAUCGGGAGGAACAUCAGUGGCGAAGGCGGCCAUCUGGGACAACACUGACGCUGAAGCACGAAAGCGUGGGGAGCAAACAGG
rnacentral:rRNA from 1 species